rnacentral:rRNA from 1 species
AACGUACGCUGGCGGCACGCCUUACACAUGCAAGUCGAACGAAGUAGCAAUACUUAGUGGCAGACGGGUGAGUAACAUGUAGGUAUCUACCCUUUGGCCUGGAAUAACACGAGGAAACUUGUGCUAAUACCGGAUAAGUCUUUACGGAGAAAGCUUUAUGCACCAUUGGAUGAGCCUGCACUUGAUUAGUUUGUUGGUGGGGUAAUGGCCUACCAAGACUGUGAUCAAUAGCUGAUUUGAGAGGAUGAUCAGCCACAUUGGGACUGAGACACGGCCCAAACUCCUACGGGAGGCAGCAGUGGGGAAUCUUGCACAAUGGAGGAAACUCUGAUGCAGCGAUGCCGCGUGAGUGAAGAAGGCCCUUGGGUUGUAAAGCUCUUUCGUCGGGGAAGAAAAUGACUGUACCCGAAUAAGAAGGUCCGGCUAACUUCGUG